rnacentral:rRNA from 1 species
AACGAACGCUGGCGGCAUGCCUAACACAUGCAAGUCGAACGAGACCUUCGGGUCUAGUUGCGCACGGGUGCGUAACGCGUGGGAAUCUGCCCUUGGGUUCGGAAUAACAGUGAGAAAUUACUGCUAAUACCGGAUGAUGUCUUCGGACCAAAGAUUUAUCGCCCAGGGAUGAGCCCGCGUAGGAUUAGCUAGUUGGUGGGGUAAUGGCCUACCAAGGCGACGAUCCUUAGCUGGUCUGAGAGGAUGAUCAGCCACACUGGGACUGAGACACGGCCCAGACUCCUACGGGAGGCAGCAGUGGGGAAUAUUGGACGAUGGGCGCAAGCCUGAUCCAGCAAUGCCGCGUGAGUGAUGAAGGCCUUAGGGUUGUAAAGCUCUUUUACCCGGGAUGAUAAUGACAGUACCGGGAGAAUAAGCUCCGGCUAACUCCGUG